GCAGACGGGUGAGUAACACGUGGGGAUCUGCCCGAUGGUACGGAAUAGCUCCGGGAAACUGGAAUUAAUACCGUAUGUGCCCGCAAGGGGAAAGAUUUAUCGCCAUCGGAUGAACCCGCGUCGGAUUAGCUAGUUGGUGUGGUAAAGGCGCACCAAGGCGACGAUCCGUAGCUGGUCUGAGAGGAUGAUCAGCCACACUGGGACUGAGACAC
rnacentral:rRNA from 1 species